AUUGAACGCUGGCGGCAGGCAUAACACAUGCAAGUCGAACGAGUGGCGGACGGGUGAGUAAUGUCUGGGAAACUGCGCGAAGGCGGGGGAUAACUACUGGAAAAGGUAGCUAAUACCGCAUACCAUCGGAUGUGCCCAGAUGGGAUUAGCGAGUAGGUGGGGUAACGGCUCACAUGGACGACGAUCCCUAGCUGGUCUGAGAGGCGGACCAGCCACACUGGAACUGAAACACGGGCCAGACUCCUACGGGAGGCAGCAGUGGGGAAUGUUGCACAAGGGGCGCAAGCCUGAUGCAGCCAUGCCGCGUGUAUGAAGAAGGCCUUCGGGUUGUAAAGUACUUUCAGCGAGGAGGCGUUACUCGCAGAAGAAGCACCGGCUAACUCCGUGCCAGCAGCCGCGGUAAUUC
rnacentral:rRNA from 1 species